CCAAGACCUCCAGCCUCCCAAACCCAGAUUCCUGGUCCUAGGAGACGGCUUUCUCAGCUGCAGCCCAGACUCCGCGCUAAUCCGAAGAGCUGACCGUCUGCUGUUGACAGGCCAGCUUGAGUGAGAGGCCAAGAUAACUAUGAGAGGAAUGUAGUUUAUAGUUAAACUUCAAGGCAAGGAAAAAUGACACCCGUCCUUGUUU